GCCGUUGCUUCUUCAACCCUUCGUUGUUCCUCUCCGACGACAAGGAGACGUACUUGAUUCGUUUACUCUCAUAUCCUUCCUUUGCUCUCGCGGUUUUAGAUUUAUGCAUUCUUCUUUUUAUUUGUCAAUUGAUCAAAUUUUGGUCGCUGUCGUUUUGUUUCCUUUAGGUUAGAAGCAGAUAUCUUCUCCGGGAGCAUCUCUUUGAGUCAAAGGCGGACGCUGGAGCAUCCAAGACCUACUCACAGAAGGUUGGAACCGCCUGCAAGGAAACAACAAAGUAACUCUUGAGUUCAUGGGGGAGGAUAACAUAAUCCACUUUGGUGGCUGCCACUGCAAGCGUGUUAGAUGGCAGGUUGAAGCACCAUCUAGUGUGGUAGUAUGGAGCUGCAAUUGCUCCAACUGUUCCAUGAGAGCAAACACCAACUUCGUAGUGCCAUCAUCGAAAUUCAAGCUCGCAGCCGAUUCCUAGCAAUUCCUGACAACUUAUACCUUCGGCACUCAUACUGCCAAGCACACCUUCUGCAAGCUAUGCGGCAUAACUUCCUUCUACUUCCC